rnacentral:rRNA from 1 species
AUUGAACGCUGGCGGCAUGCCUUACACAUGCAAGUCGAACGGCAGCACGGGAGCAAUCCUGGUGGCGAGUGGCGAACGGGUGAGUAAUAUAUCGGAACGUGCCCGGUCGUGGGGAUAACGUAGCGAAAGCUACGCUAAUACCGCAUACGAUCUACGGAUGAAAGCGGGGGAUCGCAAGACCUCGCGCGAUUGGAGCGGCCGAUAUCAGAUUAGGUAGUUGGUGAGGUGAAGGCUCACCAAGCCGACGAUCUGUAGCUGGUCUGAGAGGACGACCAGCCACACUGGGACUGAGACACGGCCCAGACUCCUACGGGAGGCAGCAGUGGGGAAUUUUGGACAAUGGGCGCAAGCCUGAUCCAGCAAUGCCGCGUGCAGGAUGAAGGCCUCGGUUGUAACU